rnacentral:rRNA from 1 species
AGAGUUUGAUCCUGGCUCAGGAUGAACGCUAGCGACAGGCUUAACACAUGCAAGUCGAGGGGCAGCGGAGGCGAGUGCUUGCACUUGCCAGACGGCGACCGGCGCACGGGUGAGUAACACGUAUGCGACCUGCCCGUAGCAGGGGGAUAAGCGGAAGAAAUUCCGUCUAAUACCGCGUAAUAUCUUUCGGGGGCAUCCUUGAGGGAUUAAAGGAAGCGAUUCCGGCUACGGAUGGGCAUGCGGCGCAUUAGCUAGUCGGCGGGGUAACGGCCCACCGAGGCGACGAUGCGUAGGGGUUCUGAGAGGAAGGUCCCCCACACUGGUACUGAGACACGGACCAGACUCCUACGGGAGGCAGCAGUGAGGAAUAUUGGUCAAUGGGCGAGAGCCUGAACCAGCCAAGUCGCGUGAGGGAAGACGGUCCUAUGGAUUGUAAACCUCUUUUGUCGGGGAGCAAAAAGGCCUCGUGAGGCCACAAGUGAGAGUACCCGAAGAAAAAGCAUCGGCUAACUCCGUGCCAGCAGCCGCGGUAAUACGGAGGAUGCGAGCGUUAUCCGGAUUUAUUGGGUUUAAAGGGUGCGUAGGCGGACUGGAAAGUCAGCGGUAAAAUCGAGAGGCUCAACCUCUUUCCGCCGUUGAAACUGUCGGUCUUGAGUGGGCGAGAAGUAUGCGGAAUGCGUGGUGUAGCGGUGAAAUGCAUAGAUAUCACGCAGAACUCCGAUUGCGAAGGCAGCAUACCGGCGCCCAACUGACGCUGAGGCACGAAAGCGUGGGUAUCGAACAGGAUUAGAUACCCUGGUAGUCCACGCAGUAAACGAUGAAUACUAAUUGUCCGGUCAGAAUGAUGACUGGGUGAUACAGCGAAAGCGUUAAGUAUUCCACCUGGGGAGUACGCCGGCAACGGUGAAACUCAAAGGAAUUGAC